CUCUCACUCACCCUUAUACACACAACCUAACUGCUGCAAUUACUAAAAUGAGUCAUGAAUGCCACAGGUCAUGACACCCCAACUGGAAGCUUCAGUCAAAGUUUAUGAUUUAAUAUCAGUUUAAUAUCAAACUCAAGGAGAAGCAGACGGACAUAUGGAGCGUCACAAGCCACUGAGCCCAAGAGAAGUGGAGAUGAAAAAAUGGACAGAAAGAGAGAAAGGGUGUGUGCGUGAGAGAAGUGUAAGAGAAAGAUUCAUCCAUAAAGCACUUGAGCAAUAAGAAUCUGUUGAAAUGGAACAGCUGUACGGUGUAACAGGAGAGCUGUGGAACGAAAGGAGAGGAGGUCCACAGACAUGCCAAGAUUUCAUUAACUGCCACAGCGGUCUGUAUUCAGUCAUGCUGGUGUUGUAAAGCCCUGCUUCAGUUUUCACCUCUAAAUGCAACAAGUUCAAUAAACUGCUCUCACACCUUAUUAACAUGACACAUGGGUGAUAGGAUGCAUUUAGUGGCUUAGACUUUAUAAAUUGUGUGUUUAGUGGUCUGACAGAGUUGGUAAUAAUCAUUAUCAACCAAUAAUAUCAUAUACCUAACAUGCUGUCAUAAAAAACAAAUCAAGUAUUAUUGCAUUCUGUUGAAUGUUCUCUUUGUUUUGUUUCCUGAAUGGUGUUUUAUGUUGUCUCUCAGGGAAAUACACACUGAGGUCACAAUGAAAGAGACAAAGACUUGUUUUAAAGGGAUAGUUACACAAAAAUGAAAAUUAUAUUGUAAUUUACUUACCCUCGUGUUGUAAAAUUAUACAGGUUUGGAAUGAGAUGAGGGUGAUAAAUGAUGACAGGAUUUUUAUUUUAUAUGGGUGAACUAUUCCUUUAAAGUUUUUAAUACUAAGAUUUACAAUGGCUUAGUAAUGCUGUUUACCC